GACGAACGCUGGCGGCGUGCUUAACACAUGCAAGUCGAACGAUGAAGCCAAGAAUCGAAGCUUCGGCAGAAAUUCAUUUCGGAUUAUUGGCAGACGGGUGCGUACCGCGUGCUCAACCUACCUCUUACAAAGGUAUAGCCUCGGGAAACCGGGAUUUAUACCAUAUAACAUUGCGACGAAGCAUUUCGAUGCAAUCAAAGCUACGCCGGUAAUAGAUGGUCUCGCGUCCGAUUAACCGGAUGGUGAGGUAACGGCACACCAUAGUGACGAUGGGUAACCGGGCUGAGAACGUGCACAGUUACAAUGGAAAUGAGGCACGGUCUAGAAUGCGACGGGAGGGAGCAGAGGGGAAUAUUGCACAAUGGAGGGAAAUCUGAUGAAGCGACGCGGCGUGAGUGAUGAAGGAAUUCGUUAAGUAAAACUGUGUUCUAUGGGAAGAGAAGGACGGUACCAGAGGAGAAAGCUCCGGCUAAAUACGUG
rnacentral:rRNA from 1 species